AUUGAACGCUGGCGGCAGGCCUAACACAUGCAAGUCGAGCGAGCGGCGGACGGGUGAGUAAUGUCUGGGAAACUGCCUGAUGGAGGGGGAUAACUACUGGAAACGGUAGCUAAUACCGCAUACCAUCAGAUGUGCCCAGAUGGGAUUAGCUAGUAGGUGGGGUAACGGCUCACCUAGGCGACGAUCCCUAGCUGGUCUGAGAGGAUGACCAGCCACACGGGGACUGAGACACGGCCCAGACGCCUACGGGAGGCAGCAGUGGGGAAGAUUGGACAAUGGGCGCAAGGCUGAGAGAGCAAUGCCGCGUGAGUGAAGAAGGCUUUCGGGUGGUAAAGCACUGUCAGCGGGGAGGCGUUACCCACAGAGAAAGCACCGGCUAACUCCGUGCCAGCCGCCGCGGUAAUUC
rnacentral:rRNA from 1 species